UACGGAGGGAGCUAGCGUUGUUCGGAAUUACUGGGCGUAAAGCGCACGUAGGCGGCUUUGUAAGUUAGAGGUGAAAGCCUGGGGCUCAACUCCAGAAUUGCCUUUAAGACUGCAUCGCUUGAAUCAUGGAGAGGCGAGUGGAAUUCCGAGAGUAGAGGUGAAAUUCGUAGAUAUUCGGAAGAACACCAGUGGCGAAGGCGGCUCGCUGGACAUGUAUUGACGCUGAGGUGCGAAAGCGUGGGGAGCAAACAGG
rnacentral:rRNA from 1 species